UAACCACUCAAGCCUGGCUUGGUAUUGGGGUACGCGGUCCCGCGGCCCCUAAAAUCAGUGGCGGUGCCGGUUGGCUCUAAGCGUAGUAAUACUCCUCGCUACAGACCCCUUCCGGUUCCCUGCCAGAACCCCCCAUUUUUUACA
rnacentral:misc_RNA from 1 species